CCUACGGGAGACAGCAGUGGGGGAUAUUGCACAAUGGGGGGAACCCUGAUGCAGCGACGCCGCGUGGGUGAAGAAGCGCCUCGGCGCGUAAAGCCCUGUCAGCAGGGAAGAAAAUGACGGUACCUGAAGAAGAAGCCCCGGCUAACUCCGUGCCAGCAGCCGCGGUAAUACGUAGGGGGCAAGCGUUAUCCGGAUUUACUGGGUGUAACGGGGGCGCAGACGGCGAUGCAAGCCAGGGGUGAAAGCCCGGGGCCCAACCCCGGGACUGCUCUUGGAACUGCGUGGCUGGAGUGCAGGAGGGGCAGGCGGAAUUCCUGGUGUAGCGGUGAAAUGCGUAGAUAUCAGGAGGAACACCGGUGGCGAAGGCGGCCUGCUGGACUGCAACUGACGUUGAGGCCCGAAAGCGUGGGGAGCAAACAGGAUUAGAUACCCGAGUAGUC
rnacentral:rRNA from 1 species